rnacentral:rRNA from 1 species
AUACUAAGCCAUGCGAGUCAUUGUAGUAAUACAAGGCAGACGGCUCAGUAACGCGUAGUCAACCUAACCUAUGGACGGGAAUAACCUCGGGAAACUGAGUAUAAUGCCCGAUAGAACAUUAUGCCUGGAAUGGUUUAUGUUCCAAAUGAUUUAUCGCCGUAGGAUGGGACUGCGGCCUAUCAGUUUGUUGGUGAGGUAAUGGCCCACCAAGACUAUUACAGGUACGGGCUCUGAGAGGAGUAGCCCGGAGAUGGGUACUGAGACACGGACCCAGGCCCUAUGGGGCGCAGCAGGCGAGAAAACUUUGCAAUGUGCGAAAGCACGACAAGGUUAAUCCGAGUGGUUUCUGCUAAAGGAACCUUUUGUCGGUCCUAGAAACACCGAUGAAUAAGGGGUGGGCAAGUUCUGGUGUCAGCCGCCGCGGUAAAACCAGCACCUCAAGUGGUCAGGAUGAUUAUUGGGCCUAAAGCAUCCGUAGCCGGCUCUGUUAGUUUUCGGUUAAAUCUGUACGCUCAACGUACAGGCUGCCGGGAAUACUGCAGAGCUAGGGAGUGGGAGAGGUAGACGGUACUCGGUAGGAAGGGGUAAAAUCCUUUGAUCUAUUGAUGACCACCUGUGGCGAAGGCGGUCUACCAGAACACGUCCGACGGUGAGGGAUGAAAGCUGGGGGAGCAAACCGGAUUAGAUACCCGGGUAGUCCCAGCUGUAAACUAUGCAAACUCAGUGAUGCAUUGGCUUGUGGCCAAUGCAGUGCUGCAGGG